GAUGAACGCUGGCGGCGUGCUUAACACAUGCAAGUCGAACGGUGAAGCAGGAGCUUGCUCUUGUGGAUCAGUGGCGAACGGGUGAGUAACACGUGAGCAACCUGCCCCUGACUCUGGGAUAAGCGCUGGAAACGGCGUCUAAUACUGGAUAUGUGAUGUGACCGCAUGGUCUGCAUCUGGAAAGAAUUUCGGUUGGGGAUGGGCUCGCGGCCUAUCAGCUUGUUGGUGAGGUAAUGGCUCACAAAGGCGUCGACGGGUAGCCGGCCUGAGAGGGUGACCGGCCACACUGGGACUGAGACACGGCCCAGACUCCUGCGGGAUGCAGCAGUGGGGAAUAUUGCACAAUGGGCGGAAGCCUGAUGCAGCAACGCCGCGUGAGGGAUGACGGCCUUCGGGUUGUAAACCUCUUUUAGCAGGGAAGAAGCGAAAGUGACGGUACCUGCAGAAAAAGCACCGGCUAACUACGUGCCAGCCGCCGCCGUAA
rnacentral:rRNA from 1 species